UACAGAGGUCUCAAGCGUUGUUCGGAUUCAUUGGGCGUAAAGGGUGCGUAGGCGGCGCGGUAAGUCGGGUGUGAAAUCUUGGAGCUUAACUCCGAAACUGCAUUCGAUACUGCCGUGCUUGAGGACUGGAGAGGAGACUGGAAUUUACGGUGUAGCGGUGAAAUGCGUUGAGAUCGGAAGGAACGCCCGUGGCGAAAGCGAGGUCCUGGACGUUUUCUGACGCUGAGACGCGAAAGCCAGGGGAGCUAACGGG
rnacentral:rRNA from 1 species